AUUGAACGCUGGCGGCAGGCUUAACACAUGCAAGUCGAGCGGAGUGAUGGUGCUUGCACUAUCACUUAGCGGCGGACGGGUGAGUAAUGCUUAGGAAUCUGCCCAUUAGUGGGGGACAACAUCUCGAAAGGGAUGCUAAUACCGCAUACGUCCUACGGGAGAAAGCAGGGGAUCACUUGUGACCUUGCGCUAAUAGAUGAGCCUAAGUCGGAUUAGCUAGUUGGUGGGGUAAAGGCCUACCAAGGCGACGAUCUGUAGCGGGUCUGAGAGGAUGAUCCGCCACACUGGGACUGAGACACGGCCCAGACUCGUACGGGAGGCAGCGGUGGGGAAUAUUGGACAAUGGGGGGAACCCUGAUCCAGCCAUGCCGCGUGAGUGAAGAAGGCCUUAUGGUUGUAAAGCACUUUAAGCGAGGAGGAGGCUCUUUUGGUUAAUACCCAAGAUGAGUGGACGUUACUCGCAGAAUAAGCACCGGCUAACUCUGUGCCAGCCGCCGCCGUAA
rnacentral:rRNA from 1 species